rnacentral:rRNA from 1 species
CCUACGGGUUGCAGCAGUGGGGAAUAUUGGACAAUGGGCGAAAGCCUGAUCCAGCAAUGCCGCGUGUGUGAAGAAGGUCUUCGGAUUGUAAAGCACUUUUAUCAGGAACGACAUACCACGGGUUAAUACCCUAUGGGGCUGACGGUACCUGAGGAAUAAGCACCGGCUAACUUCGUGCCAGCAGCCGCGGUAAUACGAAGGGUGCAAGCGUUAAUCGGAAUUACUGGGCGUAAAGCGUGCGUAGGCGGUUUGUUAAGUCUGCUGUGAAAGCCCUGGGCUCAACCUGGGAAUGGCAGUGGAAACUGGCGAGCUAGAGUGUGAUAGAGGAUGGUGGAAUUCCCGGUGUAGCGGUGAAAUGCGUAGAGAUCGGGAGGAACAUCAGAGGCGAAGGCGGCAACCUGGCUCGAUACUGACGCUGAGGCGCGAAAGCGUGGGGAGCAAACAGGAUUAGAUACCCCUGUAGUC